AUCUCUUCUCGGCCUUUUGGCUAAGAUCAAGUGUAAUAAUUGUUAUCAUGACAAUUAUUUCCUUCAUUUUAAUUUUGAAAUAAAAAUAUUACAUCCUUUUUUUCAUGGUAAAUUAUC
ensembl:snRNA U2 U2 spliceosomal RNA